rnacentral:lncRNA from 1 species
CAGAGAAGCUUUCACACUGCAAACAGCCCGCUCCACCUACACCCCGACUGGGCUCCACGACUCCCCGCAAGUGCCCUGCCACCUCAGGCACCUGCCCCCACGCCCACUCAGCGUCACCCCCUCGGCGGUUCAUCUCCAGAAGGCUUGGAAUUGAUGACGUUUCCGCACCACGAGGGGCUUUUGCGAUUCUGCGUCACUGAACUUGCAUCUCAUCCCCACGAUCCGACAUAAGCUUGCCAAGGACAGGACCUCGUGGCACCCGGGACAGGGGCCACCCCAUCCUACAUGUGACAAAGCUGUCCCUCCGUGGAGCUGGCGUCUCUGAUUUCCUCGGCCUGAGGGAGGCAGUGAAGAUGAAGGAAGGAGGGAGGGCGCCUUGGUGGUGGGUGCAGCUCUGUGCUGGUCUUUCUCUGGCCACCUAGACUUCAGUGGCCAAAUGGCUUCAGGAGACCCACUGGUCUUUCCUGUUUUAUUUUAUUUUUUACUUUUUUUUUAUUUUUAUUUUUUGAGACAGAGUUUCGCUCUUGGUGCCCAGGCUGAAGUGCAAUGGUGCCAUCUCAGCUCACCGCAACCUCUGCCUCCCAGGUUCAAGCAAUUCUCCUGCCUCAGCCUCCCAAGUAGCUGAGAUUACAGCCAUGCACCACCACGCCUGGCUAAUUUUUUGUAUUUUUUUUUUUUUUUUAGUAGAGAUAGGGAUGAGCCACCGCGCCCAGCCAGUCUUUCCUGUAUUAACAAAAGUAUUGGUAGUAGCAUUAGGUGUUAAAAAUUAUCAGCACAGCUUGGGACUGGCCACAAAAUUCUUCUAAAUCUCCCCAGGAUAAUCUCAUGAGAGCACGGAUGCUUUGCCCAGAAUCUCUGCAACCGAGGAAGUGGCCCUCUCUGAGUUUUAAAACUGGGAAUUAGAAGGGAGUUAUUGAUAUGAAAACCACGACAGGAGGUUGUUCAUAUGAGAACAUACAGCAUCUUUGAUCAACCAACACGCCCUCCCAGCUUCCGAGUUCUUGAAGGUCUGAUGAUGGGUCAGGGCUGAGCUUGCCCUUUCCAUCCGUUACCACCUUCCAUGCAAAGCUGAAUGAGAACGUGGCUCACAUCUGCUUUAUCAUCAGUACAUCCCUGUGCUUAGGAGAGUGUCUGGAGCAUUCUAGGUGUUCAAUAAAAAUGCUUUCCAUAAAUGAACAUGAGGGAAGCUGAGGCCCGGAGCAGCGACGCCACUUACACAGAGUCAGGCAGCCCAGCAGUGGCCAGGCUGACUGAAGCCCAGGCCUCCUGCCCCCAAGCCAGAGCUCCUCCUCGCCACCUUCCGAGCAUCUGCGGUAGCUUCUCUGGGUGUAGCUUGUGGUGCUCUUUCAAAGACCACCCCCAAAUGAUAUGGUGGUUCCUUAAAAAAAAAAAUCAAACAGCCUGGGCACAGUGGCUCACGCCUGUGAUCCCAGCACUUUAGGAGGCCGAGGUGUGCGGAUCACCUGAGGUCGGGCGUCGUCUGAGACCAGCUUGACCAACAUGAAGAAACCCCGUCUGUACUAAAGCUACAAAAUUAGCUGGGCAUGGUGGUGCAUACCUGUAGUCCCAGCUAUACGGGAGGCUGAGGCAGGAGAACUGCUUGAAUUCGGGAGGUGAAGGUUGCGGUGAGCCGAGAUUGUGCCAUCGCACUCCAGCCUGGGCACCAAGAGCGAAACUCCAUCUCAAAAAA